GACUAGAGUGCGGUAGGGGAGACUGGAAUUCCUGGUGUAGCGGUGGAAUGCGCAGAUAUCAGGAGGAACACCGAUGGCGAAGGCAGGUCUCUGGGCCGCAACUGACGCUGAGGAGCGAAAGCAUGGGGAGCGAACAGGAUUAGAUACCCUGGUAGUCCAUGCCGUAAACGUUGGGCACUAGGUGUGGGGCUCAUUCCACGAGUUCCGUGCCGCAGCAAACGCAUUAAGUGCCCCGCCUGGGGAGUACGGCCGCAAGGCUAAAACUCAAAGAAAUUGACGGGGGCCCGCACAAGCGGCGGAGCAUGCGGAUUAAUUCGAUGCAACGCGAAGAACCUUACCAAGGCUUGACAUACACCGGAAACUUCCAGAGAUGGUUGCCCCGCAAGGUCGGUGUACAGGUGGUGCAUGGUUGUCGUCAGCUCGUGUCGUGAGAUGUUGGGUUAAGUCCCGCAACGAGCGCAACCCUCGUCCUAUGUUGCCAGCGGGUCAUGCCGGGGACUCAUAGGAGACUGCCGGGGUCAACUCGGAGGAAGGUGGGGAUGACGUCAAAUCAUCAUGCCCCUUAUGUCUUGGGCUUCACGCAUGCUACAAUGGCCGGUACAAAGGGCUGCGAUACCGCGAGGUGGAGCGAAUCCCAAAAAGCCGGUCUCAGUUCGGAUUGGGGUCUGCAACUCGACCCCAUGAAGUCGGAGUCGCUAGUAAUCGCAGAUCAGCAACGCUGCGGUGAAUACGUUCCCGGGCCUUGUACACACCGCCCGUCAAGUCACGAAAGUCGGUAACACCCGAAGCCGGUGGCCCAACUCGCAAGAGGGCGAGCCGUCGAAGGUGGGACUGGCGAUUGGGACUAAGUCGUAACAAGGUAACCA
rnacentral:rRNA from 1 species